rnacentral:misc_RNA from 1 species
AAGAAUUCACUUUGGCUGUUGCGCCCCCUGGGGCUGCACGUCAAAACAUUCCAUCCACACACCCCUUGUGCACCUUUGGGAUGUGGCGACCUCGGUCGCCCGUCCUCAAUUUUCCAAACACCUCUGUAGAGUUUUAGGAAUGCCUUUGAUGAGUGAAA